UUAGCUGGUCUGAGAGGAUGGCCAGCCACACUGGGACUGAGACACGGCCCAGACUCCUACGGGAGGCAGCAGUGGGGAAUAUUGGACAAUGGGGGSAACCCUGAUCCAGCAAUGCCGCGUGUGUGAAGAAGGCCUGAGGGUUGUAAAGCACUUUCAGUGGGGAGGAGGGUUGAUUGGUUAAGAGCUGAUUAAUUGGACGUUACCCACAGAAGAAGCACCGGCUAACUCCGUGCCAGCAGCCGCGGUAAUACGGAGGGUGCGAGCGUUAAUCGGAAUUACUGGGCGUAAAGGGUGCGUAGGUGGUUUAAUAAGUUAUCUGUGAAAUCCCUGGGCUUAACCUGGGCAGGUCAGAUAAGACUGUUAGACUCGAGUAUGG
rnacentral:rRNA from 1 species